UACAGAGGGGGCAAGCGUUGUUCGGAAUUACUGGGCGUAAAGGGCGCGUAGGCGGCCUUCUAAGUCGAACGUGAAAUCCCCGGGCUCAACCCGGGAACUGCGUCCGAUACUGGAAGGCUUGAAUCCGGGAGAGGGAUGUGGAAUUCCAGGUGUAGCGGUGAAAUGCGUAGAUAUCUGGAAGGAAUACCGGUGGCGAAAGGCGGCG
rnacentral:rRNA from 1 species